rnacentral:rRNA from 1 species
CCUACUCCUACGGGAGGCAGCAGUAGGGAAUCUUCCACAAUGGACGCAAGUCUGAUGGAGCAACGCCGCGUGAGUGAAGAAGGUUUUCGGAUCGUAAAGCUCUGUUGUUGGUGAAGAAAGAUAGUGAGAGUAACUGCUCAUUAUUUGCCGGUAAUCAACCAGAAAGUCACGGCUAACUACGUGCCAGCAGCCGCGGUAAUAA